rnacentral:miRNA from 1 species
UUACCAAGUUUCAAAUUCUCA